rnacentral:rRNA from 1 species
CUUGACUGUAUCUUGGUAUUGGGUUCGGGCUUUUCUUGCGCAGACUAGGUGGGAGGCUAUGAAGGUUUUCUUCCGGGAAAGUUGGAGCCAACAGUGAGAGACCACUCUGGAAAGGCUAGAAUCCUAAUGGUGAUCCUUGAAUCAGGACACUUGACAGUUUCAGGUGGGCAGUUUGUUUGGGGCGAACGCCUCAUAAAAGGUAACUGAGGCGCGCAAAGGUCCCCUCAGUCUGGACGGAAAUCAGACAUUGAGUGUAAAGGCAAAAGGGGGCUUGACUGCAAGACCCACAAGUCGAGCAGGAGCGAAAGCUGGCCUCAGUGAUCCGACGGUGCCGUGUGGAAGGGCCGUCGCUCAACGAAUAAAAGUUA